rnacentral:rRNA from 1 species
AGAGUUUGAUCAUGGCUCAGGAUGAACGCUAGCGGCAGGCUUAAUACAUGCAAGUCGAACGGUAUAAGUGGUAGCAAUAUUGCUUAGAGAGUGACGUACGGGUGCGUAACACGUAUGCAACCUACCCAAAACAGGAGGAUAGCUCGGGGAAACUCGAAUUAACCCUUCAUAGUAUCAUUAGGUGGCAUCACCAGAUGAUUAAAACUCCGGUGGUUUUGGAUGGGCAUGCGUCUGAUUAGUUAGUUGGCGGGGUAACGGCCCACCAAGACGAUGAUCAGUAGGGGAACUGAGAGGUUGAUCCCCCACACUGGCACUGAGAUACGGGCCAGACUCCUACGGGAGGCAGCAGUAGGGAAUAUUGGUCAAUGGGUGAGGGCCUGAACCAGCCAUGCCGCGUGCAGGAAGACGGCCUUCUGGGUUGUAAACUGCUUUUGUCAGGGGAUAAAAAUACCUUGCGAGGUAAAUUGAAGGUACCUGACGAAUAAGCCACGGCUAACUACGUGCCAGCAGCCGCGGUAAUACGUAGGUGGCAAGCGUUGUCCGGAUUUAUUGGGUUUAAAGGGUGCGUAGGCGGCUUUGUAAGUCAGUGGUGAAAUAUGUCAGCUUAACUGAGAGGGUGCCAUUGAUACUGCAGAGCUUGAGUACAGAUGAGGUAGGCGGAAUUGACGGUGUAGCGGUGAAAUGCUUAGAUAUCGUCAAGAACACCUAUAGCGAAGGC